rnacentral:rRNA from 1 species
GACGAACGCUGGCAGCGUGCCUAAUACAUGCAAGUCGAACGCACUCUCGUUUAGAUUGAAGGAGCUUGCUCCUGAUUGAUAAACAUUUGAGUGAGUGGCGGACGGGUGAGUAACACGUGGGUAACCUGCCCUAAAGUGGGGGAUAACAUUUGGAAACAGAUGCUAAUACCGCAUAAAACCUAACACCGCAUGGUGUAGGGUUGAAAGAUGGUUUCGGCUAUCACUUUAGGAUGGACCCGCGGUGCAUUAGUUAGUUGGUGAGGUAAAGGCUCACCAAGACCGUGAUGCAUAGCCGACCUGAGAGGGUAAUCGGCCACACUGGGACUGAGACACGGCCCAGACUCCUACGGGAGGCAGCAGUAGGGAAUCUUCCACAAUGGACGAAAGUCUGAUGGAGCAACGCCGCGUGAGUGAAGAAGGUUUUCGGAUCGUAUAACUCUGUUGUUGGAGAAGAAUGUAUCUGAUAGUAACUGAUCAGGUAGUGACGGUAUCCAACCAGAAAG